rnacentral:rRNA from 1 species
UACGUAGGUGGCAAGCGUUGUCCGGAUUUACUGGGUGUAAAGGGCGUGUAGCCGGGCUUACAAGUCAGAUGUGAAAUCCCGGGGCUCAACCCCCGAACUGCAUUUGAAACUGUAGGUCUUGAGUAUCGGAGAGGCAGGCGGAAUUCCUAGUGUAGCGGUGAAAUGCGUAGAUAUUAGGAGGAACACCAGUGGCGAAGGCGGCCUGCUGGACGACAACUGACGUUGAGGCCCGAAAGCGUGGGGAGCAAACAGG